rnacentral:rRNA from 1 species
GGAAUAUUGGUCAAUGGGCGCAAGCCUGAACCAGCCAUGCCGCGUGCAGGAUGACGGUCCUAUGGAUUGUAAACUGCUUUUGUACGAGAAGAAACAACUCUACGUGUAGAGUCUUGACGGUAUCGUAAGAAUAAGGAUCGGCUAACUCCGUGCCAGCAGCCGCGGUAAUACGGAGGAUCCAAGCGUUAUCCGGAAUCAUUGGGUUUAAAGGGUCCGUAGGCGGUUUAGUAAGUCAGUGGUGAAAGCCCAUCGCUCAACGGUGGAACGGCCAUUGAUACUGCUAAACUUGAAUUAUUAGGAAGUAACUAGAAUAUGUAGUGUAGCGGUGAAAUGCUUAGAGAUUACAUGGAAUACCAAUUGCGAAGGCAGGUUACUACUAAUGGAUUGACGCUGAUGGACGAAAGCGUGGGUAGCGAACAGGAUUAGAUACCCUUG